UACGAAGGGGGCUAGCGUUGCUCGGAAUCACUGGGCGUAAAGGGCGCGUAGGCGGCUCGUGAAGUCGGGUGUGAAAGCCCGGGGCUCAACCCCGGAACGGCAUCCGAUACUGGCGGGCUUGAGACCGGGAGAGGAGGGUGGAAUACCCAGUGUAGAGGUGAAAUUCGUAGAUAUUGGGUGGAACACCAGUGGCGAAGGCGACUACCUGGCCUGUUCUUGACGCUGAGGCGCGAAAGCUAGGGGAGCAAACGGG
rnacentral:rRNA from 1 species